rnacentral:rRNA from 1 species
UGGGGAAUAUUGCACAAUGGGCGCAAGCCUGAUGCAGCCAUGCCGCGUGUAUGAAGAAGGCCUUCGGGUUGUAAAGUACUUUCAGUCGGGAGGAAGGUGGUAAGGUUAAUAACCUUAUCAAUUGACGUUACCGACAGAAGAAGCACCGGCUAACUCCGUGCCAGCAGCCGCGGUAAUACGGAGGGUGCAAGCGUUAAUCGGAAUUACUGGGCGUAAAGCGCACGCAGGCGGUUGAUUGAGUCAGAUGUGAAAUCCCCGGGCUUAACCCGGGAAUUGCAUCUGAUACUGGUCAGCUAGAGUCUUGUAGAGGGGGGUGGAAUUCCAUGUGUAGCGGUGAAAUGCGUAGAGAUGUGGAGGAAUACCGGUGGCGAAGGCGGCCCCCUGGACAAAGACUGACGCUCAGGUGCGAAAGCGUGGGGAGCAAACAGG